GAUAUCGUUGCAAAUAGAAUUUCUGUCGACGAUUAGUGAUUUUUAAUUAAUUCGACGACAAUUGAUAUCGUAUUUAAGUGAGGAAUGGCAUAAGUAUCGUCACGGAUGGAAUACAAUUGAAGAUUGCUGACUUUUAGGCAAAUUUUAACGAACAAUCAGGUCAAUACAAGACAAGAAGAUUCAAUAAAUUUUUUAAUAUACUCGGUUGAAAUAAUACCAAACAGUAGACCGUGUGGCCUAAUGGAUAAGGCGUCGGACUUCGGAUCCGAAGAUUGCAGGUAUGAUCCGUUCGUUGCAAAGAUCAAGCAAGAACCUUCGAUAGCUCAGUUGGUAGAGCGGUGGACUGUAGUUGGCAUAAUUACAUAGAGACAUCCAUAGGUCGCUGGUUCAAAUCCGGCUCGAAGGAGUUUUUUUUUGAUAACUAUAUGAACAGACGGAAAUACUACAAAUAGUUUCCCAUUCAUCAUUUAUAGUACAAUUGUAUGAAGGGUGGUUUCACGGUAUGCCAUAUGUAUUAUUUACUCUAUGCUUCCUCUUAAAAAAAAAGAACAGUUGGAAUCAAAUAAAAGUUGGAAAACUCUCAGUCACGUUAAUAGAUGAGGCUAAAAGCAAUAAACUGUAUACAUUACAUGUAUGUAUAAAACUAAAGAAGAUAGCUUAUCACUUGUCAUUAAAAGAACUUGUCUACAAAGAGUAUAUCAAAAAAGUUUGAUCUUUUUUUAUUGCAGUAAAAAUAGAAAGAACAUGAGAAGGAAAAAAAAUUGUCUUCGUGUUUCGAUACGAGAGCAUUGACAGCUUGUUUUUGAAGUUGUAAGCAGGAUGAGGGUUUCUCUAAAUCUCUCGUUACAUUUUUGGCGUGUCACCCAUUGAUCCUGCACCAUUCGAUGUUUAUCCAUUUAUCUAUUUCGGGGAUCGGAACCCUGCGAGGGCGCGCCGACCCUUUUGUCUAAUCAGAGUAAAGUGAAUUAGCCCUAACACGAGACCGCACCUAAAUGUUUUUGUUCGCGUAAGCUUUUAAUUCCUUCUUUUCAGCUAAGUUUGACCUAGUACCAAGUACUGCGAAGAUUAGAGGGUCGAUAUAAGGCGUUCGAUGUAUCGCAUCCCCUCUUGUCGUUCGUACAAUAG